rnacentral:rRNA from 1 species
GAUGAACGCUGGCGGCGUGCCUAAUACAUGCAAGUCGAGCGAACAGAUAAGGAGCUUGCUCCUUUGACGUUAGCGGCGGACGGGUGAGUAACACGUGGAUAACCUACCUAUAAGACUGGGAUAACUUCGGGAAACCGGAGCUAAUACCGGAUAACAUAUUGAACCGCAUGGCUCAAUAGUGAAAGGCGGCUUUGCUGUCACUUAUAGAUGGAUCCGCGCCGUAUUAGCUAGUUGGUAAGGUAACGGCUUACCAAGGCAACGAUACGUAGCCGACCUGAGAGGGUGAUAGGCCACACUGGAACUGAGACACGGUCCAGACUCCUACGAGAGGCAGCAGUAGGGAAUCUGCCGCAAUGGGCGGAAGCCUGACGGAGCAACGCCGCGUGAGUGAUGAAGGUCUUCGGAGCGUAAAACUCUGUUAUCAGGGAAGAACAAAUGUGUAAGUAACUGUGCACAGCUUGACGGUACCUGAUCAGAAAGCCACGGCUAACUACGUG